rnacentral:lncRNA from 1 species
CCGCACGCUCGCCGUUCACCGCCCGUGCGCCGCCUGCGCUUGCCAUCCCUGCCGUGCGACCCAGCUCCCGUUCGGCCUCUGUUCAGCCACCGUGAGCGGCUGAGCAGGCCACCGGAGCCGCUGUUCGGCCUCCCCGGAGUUCCGCCCGCUCCCCCGAACCCUUCUCUGCCCCUAACCAUCCCUGUUUUCCUCUGUUUCGCAGCAAACCAGCAACAAACGAAAUGGGUUUCCAGCUGGUUCGGGCUCGUUUUGGGCCGUUUCCGGGCCCCGGAUCCGUGAGUCGCUUUGGGAAGAAUCGUUCCUCGCGUCGCCGCCGUCGGAUUGAUCCGAUUUGUGCGCGAUUUGGUGAGUAAUCUCACUAAUCUCGGAUUAGUUUGCUAAUUAUGCUUUAGGUUGGUUUAGUUUUAAUUAAUUAUGUUUAGGUUGUUAGAUUAGAAGUAAUUAGCAAUUAUUAGUCAAUUGUGAUGCAAUUUAGAAAAAUUGAUUGCGCAAUUAGCAAGUAGACGUGGUCUACUAAUUAUUGGAAGUGUUUCGGGAAUUUUCGGACCCCUAAUCGGGCUUCAAUUUGGCGAUUCGGGCCUAAGUGGGAUUUUUGGCAUUUAAAUAUUAUUUUUCGGAAUUAAAUUAAUUAAUUAUUUAUUUUCCGAAAAUUCAACUGAGAUGGUCCGGGACCGGAAAAUUUUGUUGAUGACCGUGGUGAAGUCCGUUUAUUUAAUCGGGUUUUAUUUUGAGCUAAAUUGAAUUUUUAAUAUUAAUUAUUUAAUUUUCGAAAUUAAUUAAUUAAUUAAUUAUUUUCCGAAAAUUCAACUUGGAUGGCUAGUGGCCGAAUUUUUAUGCUGAUGAUCGUGGUGCAGCCCGUUUAUUUAAUUGGGCUUUAAUUAAGCUAAAUUGAAUUUAUUGAAAUUAAUUAUUAAUUUUCGAAAUUAAUUAAUUAAUUAAUUAUUUUUCGGAAAUUAAGAUUGAGAUGGCCAACGACCGGAAUUUUGUGCUGAUUGUCGUGGCACAGUCUGUUUAUUUAAUUGAGCUUUAUUUUGUGCUAAAUUGAGUUAUUUGUGAAAUUGGAAAUUAUUCUUUAAUUGAAUAAUCUCUGGUUAUUAAUUGAAAAAUAACCGGGCAUCGGUUGAUGAUGCCAAAAAUAUUUGAAUGGACUACAGAAAAUGUGGGAGUUAUGGAAAGAAAAAUAUUAUAUUUUGGCUAAGGCCAGCCGUGUGCCCACGCACGAUAUUUUAUCGAAUAUUUUUGAUACGAAGAAAUGAGGCCAAGAUAGUGCGAGGCACAAUGCCAUUGGGCCGUGAGGGAUUAACGUGUGUUGGCUUAUAGAUGAAGCAAGAUGAUUAUCGAAAGUGAUGCGAUGUGUGUUGUGUUGAGGGAAACCAAUGGAUCAUGAGCAGGUAAAGGACUAAGUACUACACAAGUAGAAGACUUCGUGUGAGUUACCUCUAGCGCCCUAUACCAUUGCUUAUUGUAGUUAAGGACUAAGUAUUACAUGGCGACCUGAGUCGCAUGGGAAUUACCUCUAGCGCCUUGCUGCAUUGUUAUGCAUAGUGGAGGGCUAAGUGCUACGCGAUGGAAGAUCUCGUGUGAGUCACCUCUAGCGCCUUACCCUAUUGCAUUUUGUAGUUAAGGACUAAGUACUACACGAUAGCGAGAUUUCGUGUGAGCUACCUCUAGCGCCUUAUACUAUUGUUAUUUGUGGUCAAGGACUAAGUACCGCACGAUGACGAGACUUCGUGUUGGGGUCACCUCUAGCGCCUUGAGCCUAUAUUUGAGCGGGAAUGUUGAAUGGGAAUGUUGAGAUUAAUUAUCGAGUAUAGAUGGAAUCAUUGAUAUGAUUUGAUCCGUUUGUCAUGGAUUGAUUGAUUGAUCUGAAUUGGCCGGGGAAUGGUUUUCGUUGACAUGUAAUCGACUAGGUCGAUUGAUCAUUGCUUUGGUCUGAUGUUGUGAAAUGAUUGAUUGAAUGGAAAUGACCGUGAGUGGUCUUGUUGGCAUUUAAUCGACAAGGUCGAUUUGAUCGACGCUUCGAUCAGUGAUAUGAUUGCUUGGGUGCCUAUUAUGAAUUGUACUGACUUGCAGGUGGGACAUGAGGCCAAGGUACGUCUUCUGCCCUAUGCGUGUAUAGGCAGCCUGUAGUAUAAUGGUUUACUAAUCGGGCUUAGUGGGGUAGAACUCGCUGAGACGUAGUCUCAUCCCAGUUUGGGGAAAACAUUUCAGGACCCCAUUGAGGAGCUGAGGAGGAAUCUGAGAAGGAGAACUCGGAGGUGAAACCUGAGUAGAAGGAUUUUUGAAAGAAGAAGAUAAUACCGAGAGAGAUUUUGAGUAUGACCUGAAGGGAUUGAGAUUCCAUCUUCUUUUGUGAACUCCAAUUGAUGUGAAUAGUUAUGACGUGCUCUAGUUGAUGUCAUGUACAAAAGUUUGGUUAUAAAUUUCAAUAUGAAAGAUAUGGCCC